AUCGGGGGAAUCAUCCUGGUACUCAGCCUCCAAGCCGUUGUCUUUUUCGUGGUGAAAUUCCUCAAGGCAAAGGACAGCACCUAUCAGACACUGAUCUGAUGGCUGAUCACCAAGGAGCUGCCUUGAUAAGCGUUUCUCUUGCGGGAGGAGUUGCUGGAGAAGAGGAGCCUGCCUGUGGCUGCAUUAGGAGCCAGGACUCUUUCCCUCUCUCUCUUCUUCAAAUGGAGCUGCUGAAGUGGGAGAUCUGCUCCAGACCUAAACAGCCUAUUGUCACAAUGGGUGAUGCUUGGCUCAGAUACCUGGACCCUUUAGACUUGCUGCGGAAAUAGUAUAAAUAUAUACAUGAGAUACUAGCAAGCUCAAGCUGCAGGGAUCUGCUUCGUAUGUAACUGUGUGAGGUUAAGGACGCCUUCAAAUGAUUGUGGGGUUUUCUUUCUAUUUUUUCCCCCUUCUGUGCAACCUGCUUUUGGUUGAUUAUCCUUAUUCUAAGCCCACAUGGCUCCUGUUUCAGUACCUGCCGGUCCUGUAUAUUUGUUUCUUAAAUGCUGCACCAAAAGUGGAAUGUCCAGUGGAACUUGGGGCUACUUCACCUGUGUGACUUCUUUCUCCCUCCACCCAAUAUUGUAUAAGCCAGAUCACUCUAAAAGGUCAGAGUCUUAUGCAGAUGUCAAGACACUUGAGUCGCGAUGUUAACUUCUUGCACAAGAGAGUUGGGGUGGGUCUCCUUCACGCUCGUUCUUGCGAGUGAGUUUCCAGUAGGGGAGUUGCGUCGAAGCAGCUGACUUGUUAACGCCGAACCCAACCGAUGUUGGACCCCAUUGGAAGUUGCCUGUCCAUUAAAGAGUGGGUCCUUCUAAGAGUCCAGUUCUCAGCUGCCUCCCUGGAAAAACAAAGAACACCCCUUACUGUGGAAUGGCAGCAAACACAAGGGGGGAAGACGCCUCUAAAAUAAAAUGAAAUAUUUGUGGAACGCA